rnacentral:rRNA from 1 species
GACAACCAGAGGACAGGUGAGGCGGAACUACGCAGGACGCGCGAGGGGUCAGGAAUUAUUGGGGUUAAAGGGCUCGUAGGCGAUUCGUCACGUCGGGAGUGAAAAGGCGGGGCUGAAGCCCGAGCCUGCUUGCGGUACGGUCAGACGAGAGGUAGGCAGGGGAGGGCGAAACUCCUGGUGUAGCGGGGGAAUGCGCAGAUAUCAGGAAGAACACCGGUGGCGAAGGCGGCUCUCUGGGCCUUACCUGACGCUGAGGAGCGAAAGCGUGGGUAGCGAACAGGAUUAGAUACCCCGGUAGUC